rnacentral:lncRNA from 1 species
UCCCACUCAACAGGAUUUCGUAUCUACUUCAUGUACAACGCCCCCAAUUUACACGUCGAUUGAUAGUACAUCACUCAUGGUAGGUGCCGAAACGGAACUAGAACCUUAAUCGCUGAUUUAAGAGGUCACCGUGUCUUUGAUUAGGUUUUAGAUGUGAGUUGGAUUUUGUUUCUAGUUAGUCACCGUAUAUGGAGGGCGAAAGUUAUCGGCGGGACGCCACGCAACGAAUUCAAGUCGUGGAAUUGUAUUGUACAUGAUCAGUUUUGUGAAUGUCAUUGUUCUACCAGGUCCUGAGACCUUAAACUAACCUAUUCCUUGUGAGGACCUUUUAUUAACCCUCUGCAUUAUGGUGUGAUGCUAUGGUUUUUUAGAGCUUAAUUUACACAAUGAUUGUAAGAAGAGAAUAAAUGCGGAGGAAAAUCAACCGCAUGCUUGAGCUGCAACUCUGCAGGCUUUGGGUAAUUCCUUAUCUUGCAGUUUCGAUGGUGUUGUGAAUUCCAUGGCAGAUUCAACGUCUGCGUGUCGAAGAGGACUGUCCCUGGCGUUGGUUGGGCUGCGAUUGUUCAACCAACGGAUGAUGUCGUUGAAC